GUGUUUGGAUAGAGAGAAUGGUUAGGGAUGGUGUUUGGAUAGAGAGAGGAUGGUUAGGGGUGGUGUUUGGAUAGAGAGAAGAUGGUUAGGGAUGGUGUUUGGAUAGAGACAGGAUGGUUAGGGAUGGUGUUUGGAUAGACAGGAUGGUUAGGGAUGGUGUCUGGAUAGAGAGAGGAUGGUUAGGGAUGGUGUUUGGAUAGAGAGAGGAUGGUUAGGGGUGGUGUUUGGAUAGAGAGAAUGGUUAGGGAUGGUGUUUGGAUAGAGAGAGGAUGGUUAGGGAUGGUGUUUGGAUAGAGAGGAUGGUUAGGGAUGGUGUUUGGAUAGAGAGAGAUGGUUAGGGAUGGUGUUUGGAUAGAGACAUGAUGGUUAGGGAUGGUGUUUGGAUAGAGAGAAUGGUUAGGGAUGGUGUUUGGAUAGAGAGAGGAUGGUUAGGGAUGGUGUUUGGAUAAAGAGAGGAUGGU